CCCCGCUCUCCUCUUCUUUUGCCAGUCCACGUCGACAGUAUCCCGAACUCUCCACCGCUUUCCACGUCCCGCGACCGCUCUAGAUUUCCACACCUCAAACGAUUAAUGGUGCUUGCGGCGGGGCAUGCCGAUCUGGCCGCGCGACCUCCGUGGGAGGCGAGGAGGCGAGUAGGAAGCGGCAAAGAUGAACACGCCGGCCGACAUUUACGGAGCCAUAUCUCCUCCACAACUCAUCUCUCUCCCGGACCUCCCAGUCUUCCAAACCGACCCACGUCUCUCUCGCCCCCACGUGCUUUCUCCACCUCCUGCUCUUCCAAACUAUCGGCUGGACAAGGGGCUGAGAAGCAGCGUGGCGGCAGUUCAGCGGCGGGGUUCGAGUGGAACAGAGCAAGCUGGAUGUAACGAAACGGAGGACGUGGAUGGAUUUGAUCGCGGGAGCCGGACGUGGUCAUUGCUGGAGGCGGCAGUGCUGCACCCGUUCGACGGCUGCUGUCCAGGGCCGUGCGAGAGAUCAACUAGGUCCUCCCUGACUCAGCCAUGCAGUUCCAUCAGCCUGGAUGUGUACAAGCCAAUUGCAAUUUCUAGGGUUUCAGCGGCGGGUCGCUGGCGCUCAAUAGCGAUGAUGCCGAGUGGAUUGGGUAAGAUUCGUUGCCUCUUCCCGUCCACGCAACACUCCUUAUCAGAUUCCCCUUUGUACCCGGUGAAUUGAAUGGUUUUCACCACUGCCAUGUUAUAGGGAUAUGUUAUACAGCAUAUGAAGAUAUAUUAUUGUCCAUUAUCUGCCACACAAGGUGUUUGUUUUCAGAUUUUCUUCAAAGGUUAAUUAUUUCUGCCUUCUAGGAGUUCUAGAUCGGCCAAACCAUUCAUUCCUUCCAAAGGAGACUGGAAGACUCAGGUCAAAUACAACUACUAUUUUCCUUAGCUAACCAAACCUUGAAGCACAUUGUAAAAUAGUUGUGUGUUAUAGUUUCUGCACUGAUACUACAUAAGAACAGGGAUGAGCAAUACAUGCCUGCAUGCGAAGCACGUUACCAAUUUGUUAUAUCUUUUAGUUCACUUUUGUCCUUAUAUGUAUUACAAAAAGUUCUCAGAAAUUACAUGAUUUCCUGUCCUUUUUUCUUGAUAUGUAUUACAAGAAGCCCUCAGAAAUUAACUGAUUUCCUUGAACAUGUGUACUAAUAUUUACAUUUAAAUGCAGAGAAGAAAUAUCAUUGGGCAUCAGUUUUUGGACUCACUUCCAGUACUAAAACUAAGUUAGUUAACAUGCUGUUACCGCUUAGGUUAUUGGAUCCAUGGAAACAAUUGACAGGGAAUAUGCAAGCACACAUAUCAUUGAGAUAUCUUUCCGUUGUUAUUAGCUCACAUGAAACUUAAUGUCAUAGCCCAACUUCUGAACUGUUUUGCAGCGCUACCGUCUUUGGUCGUUCCUCACACCCAGCUGCCUGUGCAGCUUUACUUAUGGAGGUGUUAGCAAUUUGAUUAUGGCGGACAACAUUGGCGAGCAACCCUCGUGUAAUUACAGUUGCACAUGCCAAGACAUUAGGGAGCAGGUCCAGUGGCAGCUACCGUUGCUUAAAAGCUCUUCCCAGCGGCAGGACUGUCGUCAGCAAGUUCUUUCACUGCAGAUAGGAAAUGGCUGCAAGCUGAUUCGAUCUGAGAGCAAGGGCACCGUGCAUUCGCUUCUACUGUCUCUGUGUUGGUUCUGAUGCGCCAGGGCAAGACCUUCACCUAUGAGCUCACUGUCGGCGGCAUGCAGUUACAUGGGUCGGACUUGCUCGCUCUUCUCGAUUCCUAGCUUUUUCUUUACGAGGUUCUUUACUCCGCAUCUAGAUUACUCUGAAAGCCUGACGUUCUGAUCGUUUCGUUUUUUAACCAAGGAAAUCAUGACAAAAAUUUAUAAGUUGCUGCUGCUAAAAUUUGGUAACCACUACUUAAUUUUCAUUCUCAAAUUUUCUUUGUGAUUGUUAUUCAUUCCAGGAAAAAAUGCAAAAAUGGAUGAACUUUGUUUUCAUACAGCCAGUAUUUUUGUAGUAGUGAUCCCUGUCCAAAAGACCACAUGAAUUAUAUGAAGGUAUAGUGCUUUAGAUCCUACUUUUAGGCUGUGACAUGUAAUACUGAUUCUAUGUGGCAGCACACAGACUUAGCCUUAGUGUACAGGAAAGGAAGUGGCUCAAUCCCCUGUUACCUGUGUUGUGUGCUACGGGGAGGUACUUUGCUCUAUCUUUUUUCUAGGAAUGCAUUCUGCUGGUGAUGGAUUUGAAUAGCUCAUUGAGACCCUUAAUUUUGGCUGGCCGUAAUAUGCAGAAUUAUGGUUAGUCCCCUGUUAGAUGUGCUUCUUUCUUCAUGAAUUUAGUGUGAGGAGAUAUGAAUAUCUUUCAACCUUUGUUCCCAUUAAACCAGAUUAUUAGAGUACCUUUAUUUUUGGUGGAAAAUUGCAGGUUACUGUCUUUCCACUUCUAUUGCUGCCAGGAAUUCACCGUGUAUGGCUCAUGCCCUUCUGUCCAGAGCAAAAGAUUUGGACCUGCCUGUAGAUUUCCUCUACUUCUCGAGCCUGGAGGAUUAUUGUUCUCUACUUCUGGACCUGCCCUUAGUUUUCUAAGGCCAAUGUGAGUGCUCUAUUGUUUUUCUUAUAUCAUACCAUACUUAAUAUCUUACAUGUGAACCUACACACUUGGUAUAUGCAUACUAUUGUUUACUUCGGUUUAAAUCACCAUAUAAUGGUUAAAAACGUUUUCUUCUCCCACAACUGUCGGAAUUCCCAAGGCUCUACAGCGAUGCCUUUCCUUCUUUCACAGUUGUUAAAAUUCCCAAUUUAAAUUGGGGUUAAAUCAUUUUCAUUUAUUGAUGUUUUUUUCAGGGAGCUUGGAAAAAGAAUUUCUUGUGUCAUUAAAACAGUCAGACAUUCUGGCACUAAAUUACCAUCACUAGAUUACUUGACAAGUAAAAUUUAUGAAGGCACCGAACAGUUUAUACUGGUGGAAGAGUCUCUCUUCCUAUUUAUCCAGAUUGUCCUUCCCCUUUGGCUGAUCUACCUAGCUUUGAUGGUGGUGCUGAAUCAAUUAGUGAGUAUAAUUCUAAAUUUGCUUCUACAUCUCUCGAUGUUGAUGUUCACAAAAACGUUAAUGUUGGAAAUGACAGAUAUGUUUUCAAAUAUAUUUGGGGUACUUUGUCGUGAGAUUCGUUCUUUGCUUCCUCCAAAUGAUAAUCCUCUUCCUAUGUUUGACCAACUGUAUAUUCAUGAUGCGGAAUGAGAACCAUAGAAUGCAUAUAUUUGUUACAGUUGAUGCUGAAGGUGAUCAGGCGUCUGCAUCGAAUGGACUACCAUUGUCUUCAUCCCGUGGUCGUCGGCAAUGGAAUGAGGUGCAGGCUGAUGCCAAGCUGGAUGGUCAUUCUAUGCGUUAGCGACGAUGUUGCCGUAGGAAGGAGCAGGAUCCUGCUAUAGUGGACUCCUUGUGCAAAUAUUUCGUAUUGUUUAGCAGAGGAAGUUGCUAUUGGCUGCAGAUCAUGGCAACAGUUACUCUCUUCCGGCAGCAUGUUAGCUGGUUUCUCUUAUUGUUGGUAAUCUUCAUGUAGCUGCAGAUUUUACUAGGUCGACUGAUGAUAUAAUCCAGUCCAAUGUACUAUUGUAAUUCAAUAAAACGUAUACUAAUGCUACCAGCUUAUUUACAUUCAAAUUGUUCUCAACAUA